AGUACGUACGCUCAGACGCACUGUGGGGAGCGUCCUGCCGCCGCCGCGCUUUGAGGUCAUGUGGUCUGUCUUCCGGGAGGAAGAUGUUGAUAAACUAAACCAGAUAUUCCUGUUUACGAAAAUGGUUACAGGACUGGCAUAGCAGGUGCAGCUGAGAGAUUUGAACCCAUGGCUCUAAAGGAAAAGGCUUCAACGUUCAAGCUACAGGAGUCAUCAGUUUGGAGCCUGCAGUUUGUCACAUCAUUAUAUAGGACCUAUUGAGAAAGUGAUGUAGCUGCAACCAGGCCAUGUGACCUUCAGGACAGGAAGUAAAUAGAUACCAGGAGGAUCAUUUCUUUGAUCUGCAGGAUCAGAUUUCUACCUAAUUCAAAAUGCCCAGUUUGUAUAUCAUCUCAUGGCUGCAACCUGCCUUCCAAUCAGGAUCCCUGAAAACCAAGAAGGAUAGAAAAAGAGAAUGCAGCGCUCCUUGUGGACCCACAGCCAAGAUUGGAAACUCAGUAUGACCAGGAUUCUACCAACAAGCUCCUGGUCGCUUGACUCAACCUGAACUGCACAUGGUAGGGCCUAUAAGGCGGAUCCACUGAGGCCCCUCUGUCCUAGCCCUAAUGAUCUGCCUGGAAACCGAAAGCAAGGAAUAGGUAGUGUACAACAGACAUGAAAAUACUAUUCUAUGACAAAACAGUGUAUUAUAAACCUGUGGUGUUUGUGCUCCUACAAUAUUUCAGUAUUUCUACAUAGGCUUGGUGACUAAAACAGAUCAUGGGAACUGAACUUCAAGUGGCACACAAUUACUGUAACAGAAUAGAGAAAUAAAUGUUUGAGACUAGGGGAAACCCAGAAAAUCUUUGUUUGUCUACUUGAUUAAGUCGUUGAUUUUAGUUAACCUACACCCAGCUGUAUUUGUUAGCAGGUAAAUCCAGAAUAGUGGUGGAUAGAUGGUUGAUGCAGUGCUGUAGAAUGCUAUAAAAAAUAAACUGGCUUAUCCCAGCAGGGUAUAGGUUGAUCAGAUCAACUUCUAAAUGUACCAAAGUUUUACCUCUAAGUAAUAAUAACAAAGUGAAUAUUUUUAAACGGUGCUCAAUGAUUGAAAGUAUGGUUAUGGUUUAUGAAAAACAGAUUGCUGACAUGUACCAGAAGACACAUGUAGAGAAGGUAGUGAAGGGAAAUAGUUACUUCAGCUGCAGUAAUCAGAACAUCCCUGUAGUGAGACACUGAUGGUACUGUAGUUGUGUGUUCCGGACUAUAGCCUAGAAAAAUGCAACCUCAGCAGUUUAGCUUGGCGCUUGUGCGGAUUCUGUAUUCCCCAAGGCUGGCCCUUAUUAGCUACGAUAUUACAAUGAAUGAACAAGCCUGCCAUGCCUGUCAUGUUCUGUACACUACACUGAUUCUCUCCAGCUGACCUGGUUUCUGAUCUCUCUGUUGAAGUUUGUGGUUACAGUUACAGGUACUGGGAAUGGGGUUCAGCUUACACUGCUGCAGCUGUGGUACAGCACUCUAGACGAUCCCUUUUAAUGGGGGCCCGAGGCUGUUAUCUUUUUGGGGGCUCUUUACAUAUUAAUUUGCUUCCCUUUACUGUUUUACUACCACCACACUCGAUUAACAUUAAUGUCAAAUUAUUCAAUCUUUGCUGAUCCAUAUUUUACCUGAUUUGAUGUUUUGAAUUGGCACCAGUUUUGAAAAUGAGCAUUGGCCACAGCAUUAGUUACUGGCAGUUUCAAAUACAAAAUGGGAAGUGCAAACUGAAGACUCUUUUGUCAUAAAAGCAAGUUAUCUGGAGAGUUAUCUGGAAGCCUCCCGUAUUUUAAUAUGAAUUGGUUUAUUUGCAUUUGGAAUGAUAAUUUCUCAGUCUAAAAGAAAACUACAUGGAAACGCACACAACCCAAAACUGCUACCAAAAUAGAGUGAGAAAAAGGUGAGCCUUAUUUUUAUUUUUCCAUGGAGAUUGCCCCACUGUAAUCCAUAUA